GUGGCCUUGGCUCAGUUGGUAGAGCGCCUGACUGUUAAUCAGCUUGCCGCUGGUUCGAGUACAGCAAGCUACG
rnacentral:tRNA from 1 species